rnacentral:rRNA from 1 species
GUAGGGAAUAUUGGGCAAUGGAUGCAAGUCUGACCCAGCCAUCCCGCGUGCCGGAAGAAGGCCCUCAGGGUUGUAAACGGCUUUUGACGGUGAAGAAUCGACAGGAUGCGUCCUGUUUUGACGGUAGCCGUUGAAUAAGCACCGGCUAACUCCGUGCCAGCAGCCGCGGUAAUACGGAGGGUGCGAGCGUUGUCCGGAUUUAUUGGGUUUAAAGGGUGCGUAGGCUGGAAGGCCAGUCAGCGGUGAAAAGCUGUCGCUUAACGAUAGUCUUGCCGCAGAUACUUCCUUUCUUGGAUGAGGAGGAGGCCACUGGAACGGAUGGUGUAGCGGUGAAAUGCAUAGAUAUCAUCCAGAACACCGAUUGCGAAGGCAGGUGGCUGUACCUUAAUCGACGCUGAUGCACGAAAGCAUGGGGAGCAAACAGGAUUAGAAACCCCUGUAGUCC